AGGUGGGUUGCAGGACAGCUCGUACUCACCAGGAGGGUGUCCAGGGCAUCGAUCAGCGUGAGAGAGAAGCUACGAAGGCAGAGAAGCGAGCUCCUUUCACCAGCACCUGCUGUGUGACACCACCCCAGUCACAGGCUUCCCCACUGUCCUGGAGUUCAGCUCCCAGCAAUGGCACCUGCCCUCCGUAAAGCUGCCUAUGGAUCACACAUCGUCAAUGUACUUGUGCCCACCCAGAGCAGCCUGGCAGAGCAGGAGAGGAGGGAGA